CGGGGUGCCCCUGGCUCCUCAGCCCCUGGGUUUGCAGACCGGAGAACAGGGCUGCUGCCAGCGAAGUGGGCGGGGGUGGGGGGGGGGGGUGGGGGUGGGGGUGGGGGUGGGGGCAGGGUAGCUGUUAACUGCUAGACUUGGGCCUCUCGCCCAUUUGACAGCUGCAUUUUUAAUUCUCUUUUGGAAUAUUCCUUCUGUGUUGCAGUUUCACCGUAGCCUGAGAGCCAGCUGGAUAAACUGCUAGGGACACAGGAUUCCCGAGUGACAGCGCAGGGCAGCAGUGCUGUCGCGGUGUCCUGUUCACAUCACACCGGGAGGGAGCCGCAGGUAAUUCUGCAGACUAAAGGAGGGAAGGAGCAGGCUCACCCUGUGGGUUUUCAAGACGUUAAUUUAAGUUAAUUUAAUCUUCGUUGUCUGUACUUGACAGAAACCAUAAGGCUUUAUCCAAAGUGGUAUCUUUUGUGGUGGGUGAAACAAUUAUCAGUCAUUGUUAAGAAACAGGGUCUUCUCCUUGGCCACUGAAAAACUCUGAAAUGUGAGGAGAAAUAUCAAGGUUGUGGAUGAUCUGAUAUCAUGAAUUUUCUCAGGAAAGAGAUGCCCAGAGGUGAAAGUGUAUUGGAGCUUCCAUCUCUGUGGCUUUUUUUAAAUUAAAUUGUACUUUAGGUUCUGGGGUACAUGUGCAGAGCAUGCAGGGCUGUUGCAUAGGUACAGACAUGGCAAUGUGGUUUGCUGCGUCCAUCCCCCUGUCUCUUAUAUCUGUCAUUUCUCCCCAUGUUAUCCCUCCCAAACUCCCCACACCCCGCUGUCCCUCCCCUAGCCCCCCCCACAGACCCCAGUGUGUGAUGCUCCCUCCCUGUGUCCACGUAUUCUCACUGUUCAUCACCCGCCUAUGAGUGAGAACAUGCGCUGUUUGAUUUUCUGUCCUUGUGUCAGUUUCGCUUUUGUUAAGGUUUGGUUCCAAAUAGUGGUGUCUCCAGAGAGCUGAUGAUCUCAGAAUGCUUUUGAAUUUGCACAGCGAAGCCUUCAAGUCCUGCCUUGGCAGUUUCAACAGAAGCAUAAAGGAUUCAAGGAAUCACAGACAUGAUGGAACUGAAUAUGACAUAGUGAAAAGGAAUGAGAAGAAAACCAGUAGUCAGGAGAGUGGAGUUCUAACUGCAGCUAUAAGCAGGCAUUCAUGUUGUCGUGAACUACACACUGAGUACUGGGAUGCUGGAUAUUGUGUGGACACUUGAAGAAGAAGAAAGAAUUUAGCCAUGAUGGAUUUACACUAAGAUGUAAGCCCUUGCAAUUCAAAUGCCUCAAAAACCUGCUAACAUUUGCGAGAUCAGUACUGAGAAGGUACCUUUUUAAAACGAUGAGAAGUAUUGGAAAUAUUUGAGACUAACGCAAAUACUUCAAAUCUAGUGCUAAGGAAUAAUGUCCUCUAUUUUAUGAACAAAAGUAAAAGAGAAGUAUAAUCACAUAUUCAGCAAUGUUUCAAAAAGUGUGAUUUAGUUUAAAUGAAAACAUUGAUAGGCAUAAUUGUCUGUUUAAAUAUUAACAUAUUUCAAGAAUUAUCUAAUGUUAAAUUUAUAUUGCCAGUGUAAAUAUAGAUACAAACAGAGAAUGCAUGAAAAGAUUGUUCUUACACUAUAACUGAAUGUCAUAAAUUGACAUUUUAAAACCAUUUAUUCACCCUUAUGAUUACUGAUAAUCAUUAUAUCUUAAUCACAUGUUAUGUGUUGUCAUUUAAUGAUGUUUAUUCAAAUAUCUCUUGAUUACUCCUGAGUGACCUAAAACCACUGAUUUUCAUCAGUCAAUUUGUCUUCUUUGCAAAAAAGAGCAGAAAUAUUUCUAACACUUUGGAAUGCUAUUUAAAGUUUGAUUAAAGUCUAAAAGCCAGCCAAAUCAUAGUUUCUCAAGUGGAUCCAAUAUAAUUUAUUAAUUUGCAAUUUUAGAAUCAUUAAAUUAUUAAAAUUGGUAGUUUAAAGCUCACUGUAGGAUAUGGUCACUUAGCAGAUUUAGGUUUGUUUUUUUUGAGAUGGAGUCUUGCUGUCACCCAGGCUGGAGUGCAAUGGAGUGAUCUCAGCUCACUGUAACCUCUGUCUCCUGGGUUCAAGGGAUUCUCCUGCCUCACCCUCCUGAGUAGCUGGAUUACAGGUAUGUGUCACCACAUCCAGCUAAUUUUUGUAUUUUUAGUAGAGAUGGGGUUUUGCCAUGUUGGCCAGUCUUGUUUCGAACUUCUGGCCUCAG
rnacentral:lncRNA from 13 species